GACGAACGCUGGCGGCGUGCUUAACACAUGCAAGUCGAACGGAAAGGCCCUGCUUUUGUGGGGUGCUCGAGUGGCGAACGGGUGAGUAACACGUGAGUAACCUGCCCUUGACUUUGGGAUAACUUCAGGAAACUGGGGCUAAUACCGGAUAGGAGCUCCUGCUGCAUGGUGGGGGUUUGAAAGUUUCGGCGGUUGGGGAUGGACUCGCGGCUUAUCAGCUUGUUGGUGGGGUAGUGGCUUACCAAGGCUUUGACGGGUAGCCGGCCUGAGAGGGUGACCGGCCACAUUGGGACUGAGAUACGGCCCAGACUCCUACGGGAGGCAGCAGUGGGGAAUAUUGCACAAUGGGCGGAAGCCUGGUGCAGCAACGCCGCGUGCGGGAUGACGGCCUUCGGGUUGUAAACCGCUUUCGCCUGUGACGAAGCGUGAGUGACGGUAAUGGGUAAAGAAGCACCGGCUAACUACGUG
rnacentral:rRNA from 1 species